AUUCAGUCAAAAGAGUAGAGUAAAGAAGUGCCUACAACCUAUUCGGUCAUAGUAACCUAACAAACUGAGCGGUGGCUCAUUGUAUUAAUGAUUAUAUUAAUAAUUAGUUUCAGUCAAUUUAAUGACCUCUUUUUAAGCGUAUUGCUAAAAAUUACGAAAGAUUAUGAACCUUCCAAAUCUCCUCUUCAGGUUUCAUGACUGGUAAAAUUAAGAAAUAAAAAUAUAAAAUAUGUUUAUAGGUAUAUAAUUAUAAUACUUGUAAUCGUUGCAUGAUAAACAUCACUGUCAGUAGAGUUA